rnacentral:lncRNA from 1 species
CGGCGGCGGGUGUGCAGGGUUUUAGGCAGGGCUAGGGUUUGUUUCUUCCCCGUCGGCGCAGAUUGCUUGCUUUUGGGGUCAGUCAAUUUCUAUGGUUCCUCCGGCAAGAGGAAAAGAUUACUGAAAGUGUUCAUCAGACAAGGCGGUGCUGGUACCGUCAGUCAAUUCAGUGCGAAUUAAGCUUGCUCCUCUGCUCUCUCUAUUCUCUUCUUCCCAGUUCAGUUAGGUCAGGUCAGGUCAAUUGGGUGUCUAAAUUUCUGCGGGUAGCAACAGCAAUUCUUGCUCCUUUUUUCAUGUAAAAAUCAAUCAUCAUGGGUCGAGGUCGUGUGGGUUCCUAUUACUUUCUAGUCAGUUGGUCAGUGAGUGCAGUGGUGCUGCUGUCAAAUGUGGUUCCCUUUUCUCUCUUGGUUUGCUUUGUGCUGCUGAUUCCAAGAAAGAAAGAAGAACAAGAAAGGCUUGCACAAUUCUGCAGCAAGAUGGAGGAUAGGCAAGCAUGGCUUCAGUAAGUUGCUCCUCUGCUCUGUUUCUUAGGUCUUUUUUUCUUUAUUCUUGAGAUUUUUCGUUUCUUUUGUUCUCUGGAUUGAAUUAGUGCUUGGUGAGAAUAAUAAUAAUAAGUAACUGUUGGUUUAGCUCAGGUAGCCAGCUCCUGUAUGUAUCUAUCUUUUGAUUGUUUGAUGGGUGUGUCACCAUGGAUGGAAUUGAUCAAUGGACAAAAAUAAGCACACAGAAGAAACAUCUGCCCGUCCAUCAUCCUGUCAUGUUUGUUUGUGAAUUGUGACCGCUCCUGCUCCUUGCAACGUCUCUGUCUCGCAUCCUAGUACCCUGCCACUCAUACUUAUUACCAUAUCAUACCACUACCAUUGUUUGCAAAAUUCAAGCACCCAGCAGCUACUUUCUAGAACGGAAUCAGACCUUUUCAGCAGGUAAUUGCAUCGCAUUGCCACUGGUUUUGCGGCUGCUGUUGCUGCUACUGUGUUGUGUUGCAUGUGCGGUCAGCUGUGGAGGUAGAAUAAUCGUCCCGAGUGGGGGCUCUACUGUACUGUACUUGUGGGUGGCAAACCAACUUUCUCAUGCUGACAGGAAUCGUGUCUGGCCCUGCAUUUUGCCUGAUUGCUCUGGUUGGUGCCGUUUCUGAUAGUAUAAUUAUCAGGAUGAUUGCAUUUGAUUAGCCUUUUCCUUUCAAUCUUUUCUAUCUUGUUUGUGGCCAAGUGGGGGAUGAGGGUCCUCCUAUGAGAUGCCCCGCUUUCUGAUCCCCAUUAUUUCCCCAUUCUUUAACAAUCCAGGGUACCAGUAUUCUGGACGGAUAGCGGGCGCUGCACUGACAAUAGUCAACUCUGUCCUGCUGCGUGCCCUGGCAAAGCAUGUCUGCCUGGGCCUGGGCCUGGGCCUCCACUUCUGUCCUUUCACUCCUUGCCGCCACUGCUGCUGAUCCAGUUGCAAUAGAGAAAUGAGAUCAAGAUUCUGAAGAGUAAGACGUUCUUUUUUAACUUAUUACGGUAAAAAAAUACAGUACCACGAGUGGCCGCUUCCCUUUCUGUUUCUAGUGGUGGCUGGUUGUCUCUUGAGAUGGUGGUAGAAGCGGCUCGACAAGUGUGGGUAGAUGUGUGGUGGAGGUAAAUGAUUGUCACGCACACGCAGAUGUGACCAAAGGUGGUGAAAAUGAAAUGAUGCGCACCGGCGAUUCUGAUGAAUGAAUCGCGCCUUUUUGGGCCUGAUGAUAGAUAAUCUGGCAUCUUUCCGAGCUGGAUGGAUUCAGCUUGUCUCUCUGCUUGUUGUGUUGGUUUGUUUGUUUCGGUGGGAAUUAACUGUUGGCUGAAGCUUGAGGAUCAUCACGCAGCAGUAGCAGAACCACUGCCAGAAUCGCCUCGUCUCGUCUCAGAUGUUCACACCAGGUGUUCGUAAGCGCAUCUCCAAUGCCGACCCUCAAACCUCCCGCAACCGUCUUUAACGCCCAUCCUCAAACCUCCGUAACCGUCCUGACCGCGAAAGCCAUCCAACAUGGGUCUAUACCGCUCCACAGGGGCGAUUUGGGCAUGUUUUCUCUCGCAAACCGGAGACAAAUGUGCGCAAGGUUGACGCGAGUCCGGACCGCUCCCAAACCCGUUUCUGAUCGUCCUGGCCCACCAAAAAACCCUCCCCUUCCCGCGUGUUUUCGGUCAACACUGCUUCAGAGAGUAAGAGCAUCUCCAGCCGUUGGCCCCCCAGGACGCAUAAAAAUCGCCCCCUGGGGGCGAGCCGGUGAUACAAUCGGCGCUGGGGGCGGUUUUGCGCCCAGUCGUCGCCCCCAGGCGCCGAUAUUGACCCACUUUUCAGCCCCAUUUCGGCGAAUAAAGGGCCCAUAUGGGCGAGAAUAGGCCCAUAUUCGACGUGGUUCGCCGUGGCUCGGCGUUCAAUUAUCAACAUAAAUAUUUUUUUAUCACAUAUUUCAUCACAAAAAAAUCAAAUACUUCAACAAAAUAGUACAACAACAAAUAGUUCAAUACAAAUUAUAUAAUUCAACAAAUAAAAACUCAUAUUUCAUCACACGUCGCGCCCGGCGUCGCCCUUGAGCCUCCAUAGGUGCUCUAUCAGAUCCUGCUGCAGUUGAUGAUGCACCUGUGGGUCUCAGAUCUCCUGACGCAUACUGAGGUAGGCAGUCCAGGUUGCCGGUAGCUGGUGAUCAACUUCGGCUAGAGGACCCUGCCUGUAGUAUGGUUCAGUGUCAAACACUGGGUCUUCUUGCUCGCUCUCGAUGAUCAUGUUGUGCAAGAUGACACAGCAAGUCAUAAUCUCCCACAUUUGAUCUUUCGACCAGGUCUGAGCGGGGUACCGGACAACAGCAAAUCGAGAUUGGAGCACACCAAAUGCCCGCUCGACAUCCUUCCUACAAGCCUCCUGAAUCUUUGCAAACCAGGCGUUCUUGCCUCCUGGCACAGGGUUUGAGAUCGUCUUCACAAAUGUCGACCAUCUCGGAUAGAUGCCAUCAGCUAGAUAGUACCCCUUGUUGUAGUGCCGCCCAUUGAUCUCGAAGUUCACCGGAGGAGAAUGACCUUCAACAAGCUUGGCAAAGACAGGAGAGCACUGCAUCACGUUGAUGUCAUUGUGAGUUCCUGACAUACCAAAGAAGGAGUGCCAAAUCCAGAGGUCCUGUGUGGCCACCGUCUCAAGUACCACACUGCAACCGCCUUUGGCGCCUUUGUACAUCCCCUGCCAAGCAAAUGGGCAAUUCUUCCAUUUCCAAUGCAUGCAGUCGAUGCUUCCAAGCAUCCCAGGAAAUCCUCUUGCUGCAUUCUGUGCUAGGAUCCGAGCAGUGUCUUCCGCAUUGGGUGUUCUCAAGUAUUGCGGCCAAACACUGCCACCACUGCCCGAUAGAACUUGUAGAAACACUCUAUGCUGGUGGACUCAGCCAUGCUCCCAUAGUCGUCGAGUGAAUCACCGGGAGGUCCGUACGCAAGCAUCCUCAUCGCUGUCGUGCACUUCUGGAUCGAGGUGAAUCCAAGUUUGCCGGUGCAAUCCAUCUUGCACUUGAAGUAGUUGUCGAACUCCCAGAUGGAAUUCACAAUUCUGAGGAAGAGCUUUCGGCUCAUCCGAUAACGGCGCCGAAAUGUUUUGUCGCCGUGAAGUGGAGCAUCGGCGAAGUAGUCGGAGUAGAGCAUGCAGUAGCCUUCGAGACGAUGCCGGUCCUUUGCUUUCACCUGCCCCGGCAGCGGCUUUUCAUUGCUCGCCAGCAGCUGGGCGAGGGUGGCGAGCACCAUCAGAUGCUCUUCUUCCUGGACGUCGGCCUCGGCUUCCUCCUCCAGUAGCGCGGCGAGCGCUUCCUCGUCAUCCGAGUCCAUCGCCGAGGCAGGCAAAUCGCCGAACCCCUUGCGCCCGGUGGGCGUGCACCCGCCGCUAAACUACCCCUCCGCGGCCGGAAACGCCCAGCUGGUGUUGGAGGGGCUGCCGCGGCGAACCUCUGCUAUUUUUCCGGCGGGGAAUGGCUAUCUAGCGGUGAAGGGCGGCGGGCGGCGCCGGGAUAUAGCUACAGGCGGCCGAGAGCGCGGGGGGUGGGAGGCGAGUCGGGGAAGAAAAUCUUGACUUUUCACCUGACGUUGUGGGCCAGCCGCGCUUUUCCCUAGCGCCGGAGCCCCCGAUCGCCCCCCAGUGCGCCGGGUUCGGCCUGCGGCCACCGGGCGGAAAAAAGGGCCGAACCGGCGCUUUUCGUCGUCCUGGGGGCGCGACUGGGGCGUUUUUUUGGCGCCGGCGCCGAAAAAGUGGCCUUGGGGGCCUGUUGGGGGCGCGGCUGGAGAUGCUCUAAGCGCCCGCAUUUAUGCCCGGCCAGAGUGGACGCGACCGCUGACUGGCGCCGGUAUUGAAGCGGUGCGACGGCGAGAGAGCGCCGGCCGUGGCGCUUUCCGGUGCAAGCGAUUGCCGCGCGUUCCAAUGACACAAGGGUCGUCCGUCCGUCCGUCUGCCGCUCGCAUUGAUGGCACGUGGUUGUCGAGGCAUCUCCUCCGGCGCCACCGGCCUAUCCCUCUGCCGCCCACCAUUGUCCGCACCACUCCCACCAUGGAUACCUCCCCCGCCAAAGCUCUCUAGGAUGGGUUAACGUUGGACCAGAAGGAGAUGGCCGCCAUUGCUGGCGGCUGGCUGGCCGGCAGGUAGCCGGAGGACGACGACGUCCCAAUGGAGGACGCUGCCGACGACGAGCCGACACCGCUCUCAUCCUCCGCCCCACCCUCCUCCUCCGCGCCAUCCUCGCCGGUGCAUUGCACCUUGACCAUCGAUGAGGCCUGUGCCCAUUAUAUGGACAUGAAUCGGGAAUAGCAAUUCUGGGAGGCGCAAACCUACGCCUCCUACAACCACCAGCUCCUCUAGGAGCACAUGCAUGCGGAGGAGCAGCUCGCCGCCGGCAGGGUUGUCGCGUCGGACGCGAACAUGGCGGAGCAGGAGGCAUUGCUUAAGUCCCACUGCUCCGCACGCGAGAUCCACCUCACUCCUACCGGCGGCGGGUGGCGGAGGUGGCGGUCGUCGGCAAAGAGAGCGGCGACGUGGGUGAGGCAGUCUUCGGCGAGACCGACGAGGAGGACGACAUCGCGGAGUCCGCGCCCCACCGCGCUGACCAUGAAGCCGGCACGUCUGCGGGUGCCGCCGGUAGCGAGGAAGAGUAGUGCACGGUAGGUCGCCGCUGCUCGUUUCCCAGGAAGGCCACCGCUCCUCCCUCUCUUCGACGCCAAGCUUGGCGGGCUCAACAUCUUCGGCCGAUUAGUCGCCUGGCAGCAAUGUGGAGGCGGACAACUUCACUUCGUGGGCCUGCGGAAGCGGAGGUUAUGAGGUGGAGUUGGAGAGUGCCGAGGCGGAACUGAAGACGAUGAAGCUUCAGUUCUCGGGGCUGAUGGCUGGACACGGGGAACGAGCGCCGGCGACUAUUUACAUUAGGUAUUAAUUAUACCUUUAUAGCCGGACUAGCACCGCUUUGAUGUAAAUAUAAUGAAAUCUGUUAUUUUUAUAUAAAAUCCGGAUGUGUUUAUAUGAAAUCCUGUUUUGUUUGCACGAAUUUUAUCCGGUUUUGUUAAAAAUAUGUUUUAAAUGUAUGUGACUAGCGUUGAAUGGCGUCCUUUUGAAUCCGUGUCCACGAACCGGUUAUUCUGUCUGCGGGAUGGAAUUUACGGGGUUGCAGUUGGAGAUGGAAUACUAGUACUGCCAGCACCCACACCUCGCUGGGGUUUGCGUCCACCAUGGUUCAAAGCUCUCGCGGUGGACGUAAAUCUUUUUCGCUGCGUCGAAAAAGGGGCAACCCGAGGGGACCGGCCGUGCAUGCAUGCGUGCGUCUCUCAUCCCAUCACGCCGGCGAUGAUUCCUCGCGGAAAAGUCUGUACCUGCGCGCCCAUGCGCUGUCGACCGCUCGGCCUCGCCGGCCGUCCGUUUCCUCGUGCGCGGACGUACUACUACUACUGUACUGUACUUACGUUGAGCUGAGAAUCACUGCGCAUACGGCACACGUUGCCUCCGUCCAAGUAAGUUUACCACCACGUUUCAUCCAACCUGGUGGUCGACCAUUGCAUUCCAUCAACCGUGCUGUGCAUCGGGACGUAUCUCUCUUGGUUUCGCUCGAGUGUGAUCAGCGGCAGAGACCCCUGCUUAUGAGGCGUGCCGUUUGGAAAGGGCAGUACCAUGUCGUGUUCUGGGGUGUGAAGUGAAAUGGAGGCCGGACUUUCACUUUCAGACCAGAAUGGCGAGGCAGGUUGCCAUCUGUUUCCUAUACGAGUAACUGCUGGCGUAACAGGGGAACUGCCUUUCUUUCGCUCUCAGUCUCCACUGCAGGGGAGUCGGAGUCAGAGAGCGACCUUUUCUACAUACAGAUACUCACCUUGUGUUUUCACUCAAAGAGACACAAAGAUGCCCAUAAUACGGGCUGUUUAUUAGAGCAUCUACAGCCACAAUGGCCAAAUCCAGCUCCUCAAUCCGCGUGCACUGACCGGGCACGCCUCAUAUUUGCCGCUUCGCAUCUGCGUAUCUCAUAUCCAGCGCCUUAUAUCCAUACUACAUAUGCAAACGUUAAUCUACCCUACGUGAUCAAACAGCGGACACAAAAAUCAGUUGCAAAGGAACACAAGAUCGGCUACAAACGGACAUUAGCUUACUUCACCACAUCCAAAAGAUCAUAGUUCGUCCCCGGACAAGUUCGUAAACUUCUACAACUAAANNNNNNNNNNNNNNNNNNNNNNNNNNNNNNNNNNNNNNNNNNNNNNNNNNNNNNNNNNNNNNNNNNNNNNNNNNNNNNNNNNNNNNNNNNNNNNNNNNNNNNNNNNNNNNNNNNNNNNNNNNNNNNNNNNNNNNNNNNNNNNNNNNNNNNNNNNNNNNNNNNNNNNNNNNNNNNNNNNNNNNNNNNNNNNNNNNNNNNNNNNNNNNNNNNNNNNNNNNNNNNNNNNNNNNNNNNNNNNNNNNNNNNNNNNNNNNNNNNNNNNNNNNNNNNNNNNNNNNNNNNNNNNNNNNNNNNNNNNNNNNNNNNNNNNNNNNNNNNNNNNNNNNNNNNNNNNNNNNNNNNNNNNNNNNNNNNNNNNNNNNNNNNNNNNNNNNNNNNNNNNNNNNNNCAACUGUCGCCGUCGUCAGAGUCGGAGUCGAACAGGACGAUGAGCCCCUUCAUCCGACGGACUGCCCUGUCUUGCUCUCGCUUCAACCUGGCAACCAGAGCCUUCUCCGUCGCAGCCUCCUUCACCUCGUGCUCCGACUGCUCAAUAGCAAGCCGGAGCGCCUUGGCAUUCUUCCGCCGGAGGCGGCGAGUGUCCGUCUGCACCGUCGUGAGGGAGCGAUGGUAGACCCAUGCGAGGAGACGCGCAUCAUCGUCAGGGUUCGCCUCCGUUCUUCGGUGGCGGCGGCGGACUGCUUCGCCGCAUCCCUCUCUCGUGCAUGCUGCCUCCGACUUCGGAGUGCGCGUGCGGGCCGGCGGCACAUGCACAAGCACCCAACGCUGGCCGUGUGGAUGAGCGCCAAGCGGGGGGAGGAGACGGGGCGGGUCCGACGCGGAUCGUGUUGUCUUUGUGUCGCUGCGCGUGGGCCAUGAGGGCCCAACUCCGUUGUCCGCGCCUCUCUGAUCCUCCUCAAUGUUCUCUUUACCCAUCCUUUUAUGCUAGUAUCAUCAUCCUGGAUGGAUAGCGGAGGUACACUGACGAGGGUCAACUGUCCUGCUGCGUGCGUGCCCUGGCAAAGCAUGUCUGCCUGGGCCUGGGCCUCCACUUGUGCUGAGGCUGCCAUUCUUUGGCAUUCUUCUGUCCUUUCACUCCCUUGCUGUUCUAAUCCAGUUGCAAUAGUUAAAGAAAUACGACCAAGAUUCUGAUAAAUAAUACUGCUGCAGCAGCAGUGAAGUACAGACCGAUUUUCAAAUCAGAAAACAGAAGACGAGAGCAGAGCAGAAAGCUGGGCACACACGCAGGGGAUUCUGUUCUGAUGAAUCGCGCCUUUCUGGGCAUGGUGGUAUACUGUAAUCUACCCCCUCCGUCUCAUAAUGUAAUAAGUUUUUUGACACUAUGCUAGAGCGAAGAAGCGUCUUACAUUACGAGACGGAGUAGUAUCUAGCAUUCAUCCGUCCUUUCACUCGCCUGAUGGUUGCCGCCGCUGCUGCUGAUCGGGAUGCAAUGGAGAAUUGAGAUCAAUAUUCUGAAGAGCGAGACGUUUUUAACUUAUUACCGUGUUGUCUGAAGCUUGAGGAUCAUCACACAGCAGUAGCAGAACCACUGCCGGAGUCGCUUCGUCUCGUCUCAGAUGUUCACACCAGGUGUUGGUGAUAUGGAAUACUAGUACUACCAGCAACCCCACAUCAAGAUUUCCGUCAUCCAUGUUGGACCACGUGGCAAGUAUCUUUCAUGAUUUCACCCCAGUAUGUUCAGCAGCAGCGAACCCUACUUACCUGUGAGUCAUUCGUGCCGUUUCAGAAGGGCAGUACCAUGUCGUUCAGGCGUGUGAAGCGAAAUGGACUUCCUAGACCGGAAUGGCGAGGCAGGUUGCCAUCUGUUUCCUAUUCGAGUAACUGCUGGCGUAACAGUUUCAAGUGCAGGUGAGUCAGAGUCAGAGAGGGACCUUUCCUAUGAACAGAUACUCAGCCUGUGUUUUCACUCACUCAACCGUGCACUCUCAUGUCAUCACGCUUGACAGAGACACCAUGAUGCCCAUAAUAGGAACUGUUUAUUACCACAUCUGCCAGACGACAGAUUAUGGAGUGGUACUAAGGGAACGAUACAGGGUAGACUCACAGCUACGUAUGGCCCAACUAAAGGCCUAGACCCAUGAAGAUCAGCAUGGACGGUGAUCUAUCUCAAAAACUAGUUGAAGUGUCUACACUAGAAAAAGAGACAUUAGUCCCGGUUGGUAAGGGUCUUUAGUCUCGGUUGGGCAACCGAGACUACGGAAUCGGGACUAAAGGCCCCCCUUUUAGUCACGGUUGAAUUACAAACUGGGACUAAAGGGGCUCCACGUGACCGCUGUGGAGCACUCAGACUGGAGGACCUUUAGUCCUGGUUGGUAACAUCAACCGGGACUAAAGGCCGCCACGCGCCAGGCGCUGCCAAGCGCUGGGGUUUAGGGUUUUGGAGGGGCUUACGGGUUUCAUUUUGCGUUUCAUUUUUCUUUUAUUUUAUGUUUUCCAUUCAACUCGGCGCUACUACAUAUAGCAAUGAAGAAACCAUUACACAACAUCGUCAUGAAUAUAGAGAGUGACAUCUUUCUCCGUGCUUGGUCGAACAACAAGUUUUCGUAUAUAUAUUCAACGCUACUACAUGUAGUACACGUUCAUGCAUAUACACAAUAUAAUAUCUAUUAGGAUCCCUAAUAUCUAAUUACCAAAAUUCCCUACCAAUUCCCGAUGGUAUUCUCCGGUUUUAGGUAUGACCUCUUCAAGUAAGAAUCCCGUCAAUUCCUCUUGAAUUGCUCUUACGCGAUCCUUUGGUAGUAGUUUGUCCCGCAUCCGUUCGAUCUAAUUUAAAGAGGGGGUCAAUAUAUAUGAAUGAAACUCAACACACUUGAUGGUAAUAAAAUAAAACUGUGAAUACUGUUUACAUACUCGAAGUUGUUCCAAAAUUUUGCCCUUCUCACAGGUCGUCUGGCGAAUGAACUCGAAAACGUAGUAUCCAUAUAAAUUAUUCCCGUCUCCCUGCCUCAAGCACUUUACGAGAAUAGAGAGUUCAAUGAAAAUAAUAAUCAAGCAUUAUAAUGGUAUUGAAAUUAGAAUCAAAGAGAUGUGCGCACCUAGCUAGUACUACUUACAUUGAGUCGUCGAAAUUGCAGCUCCUCUUUCCAUUCACCCCUAGCCUCCUUGGUGAACUUUUUCCAAACCCUGCCCGACAAAGAAAAUGAAUAAAUGAGUUAUUAAUUACUUGAUAUUAGGAAAUGAACGAAAGUUGCCGAUAUAGUGCGAUAAUGAUUGAAAUUACCUCUGGAGCAUUUCACUCAGGUCCGCACAUCUUAGGGUCUUUACGUUUCGAGUCCAUGGCAAGUACUGCUCCUUCGUCAAAUUGAAUGACUAGCAAAAGAAAGUGGAACCUGCGCACACAUAACUCAUCAAUUACACUUAACAUUGAGUAAGUGAAACAGAAUGUGUACAAGACAAUAACACUCACUUGAAAUUGUAAGGAAAUAGUAUUUCCCUUCUGAUUUGUUGUUCAAUUAACGCCCUUAGCAAGUUACCCUCUAUUUCCUCGACGUUGUUUUUUAGCGUAUAUUCAUGUAUGUUAUUUGAGUUAAUGAACCCAAUGUCAUAGAUUUGUCCUCUUUUGCAUUCGAGGAUCUUGAAUCAGGAUAAUUAUACAUGCAAUGAACGGGCUGAGCUAGAAACUUAAUUACAGAAAUAAUACUUACAGGCAAUAGCAACCGACGAUAGAUUUUUCGAGGGCGUCUUGAUUUUAUAACUGAAAUAAUUCAUCAAAUUCGAUGUACAUCUCCUCGUCUCCAUUGAAGUAAUGCUCAUCUCUAAUUCUCACCAUGAUCAUGUUGCUCCCUUCCUUUGAGGCUUCCGUGUACCACUCAUGCAAUCUUCACAUUUGUGUGGAUAGAAGCCGAACCUCCUCAGGUCUAAUGAGAGGCUUCCCGUAUCUGUAUGCUAAAUCAGCCAUGGGGAACUCUACCUGCUCGCCUAAGUAUUGAGCAAGAGUGAAACCAAGAUCCUGGGCCGCUACCUCCGGAUCAUAAUCGAUAUCGGAAAACACGUUGAGCAGGGGGCAUGAUUGGUUUUUUUGUUCUUCGAACUGGGGAAUUGUUUUCCCCCUUGCACUACUACUUCCUGACCGCUGCACAUGUUCUUUAUGUGACUUCAUAAUAGAGCGGUCAUAGUUUGAUGGAAGCGAAGGCGGUGGUCGCGUAAGGUUUUCUAGAAAGUGCUUCGCUUUUAUCGGAUAUUCUCUGCUUUGGCUCGGGCCGUUUCGGUGCAAGCUGGCGUUUCACAUUAGCAUCCACGACCUUCUUGAUUUCCUCAUCAAUCAUUUCAUAUGGUAACUCGGCAGGAGCCUCCUUGACGCUGUUCCUUGUACCUGCUCUGGAUUUCUUCGCAGUUGUAGUACUAGCCGCCGGAGCGGCGGUUCUCUUCCGCCGGGGCUGCGGCGGCGGAGUCUACUGACGUGGCGUUGACGGCUGAUAUGUCUCCAACGUAUCUAUAAUUUAUGAAGUAUUCAUGCUGUUAUUUUAUCAUUCUUGGAUGUUUUACAUCAUUUUAUAACAACUUUAUAUCAUUUUUUGGGACUAACCUAUUGACCCAGUGCCCAGUGCCAGUUGCUAUUUUUUUGCUUGUUUUUUACAUCGUAGGAAAUCAAUAUCAAACGGAGUCCAAACACCGCGAAACUCCACGGAGACUUUUUAUGGACCAGAAGACACCCAUUGGGCCAGAGCAGCACCUAGGGGGUGCCCCGAGGGGGGCACAACCCACCUGGGCGCGCCAGGCCCCCCGGCGCGCCCAGGUGGGUUGUGCCCACCUCGGUGGCCUCCCGCACCCCUUCUUUGCACUAUAAAUUCCCAAAUAUUCCAAAACCCUUCGGGGUUAACCUAGAUCAGAAGUUCCACCGCUGCAAGACUCUGUAGCCACCGAAAACCAAUCUAGACCCUUUCCGGCACCUUGCUAGAGGUGGGAAUCAUCUCCGGUGGCCAUCUUCAUCAUCCCAGCGGCCACCACGAUGAGGAGGAAGUAGUCCACCCUCGGGGCUGAGGGUUUGUACCAGUAGCUAUGUGUUUGAUCUCUCUCUCUCUCGUGAUCUAUAUCAUGGGCUUUGUUAAUGUAGUUGGAUCAUAUGAUGUUCUCCCCUCUAUACUCUUAUUGUGAUAAAUUGAGUCUUUACCCUUUGAAGUUUUGUCUUGUCGGAUUGAAUAUUCAGAGAAUAGAACACAUGAUAUAUGUCUUGCGGUAUGAAUACUUGAGGUGACAAUGAGGUAUCAUAUUGAUUCACUUGAUAUGUGUCUUGGCAUUCAACUCGCGGAUUCCCGCGGUGAUAUUGGGGUAAUCUAUGCAUAGGGGUUGAUGCACGUUUUUAUUUGGGGUCUCUUUAUAGUUCUUUGUGUGGAUUGAGUAUUAUGAAUAUGAAUUUGCUUUGGUGUUAUUUUAGUACGAACUCUAGGAUAGAUCGAACGGAAAAAAUAGCUUUGUGUUAUUUUAGUACGAACUCUUGAAUAGAUCGAACGUAAAGAAUAACUUUGAGGUGUGGUUUCGUACCCUACAAACAAUUCCUAUCUUUUGUUCUCCGCUAAUAGGAACUCGGGAGUGAUUCUUUAUUGCACUUUGGGGGAUAAUCAUAUGAUCCAACUAUGUUAGCAUCGUUGAGAGGUUGCACUAGUGAAAGUACGGACCCUAGGCCUCAUUUUCAAGCAUUGCAAUACCGUUUUUGUACUCGUUUACUAUUUGCUACCUUGUUGUUUUUAUUUAUUCAGAUUAUAAAAAUAUAUUUCUACCAUCAAUAUUACACUUUUAUCACCAUUUCUUCGCCGAACUAGUGCACCUAUACAAUUUUUUAUUGUAUUGGGUGUGUUGGGGACACAAGAGAUUUCUUGUAUUUGGUUGCAGGGUCGUUUGAGAGAGACCUUCUUCAUCCUACACCUCCUACGGAUUGAUAAACCUUAGGUCAUCCACUUGAGGGAAAAUUGCUACGGUCCUACAAAACUCUGCGCUUGGAGGCCCAACACGUGUCUACAAGAAUAAAUUUGCGUAGUAGACAUCAACGACUGAGGCGGCGGAGUCUACCGAGGCGGCGAAGACGGCAGAGGCGGCAGAGAUAGAGCUGGAUUGCUACUCUAAGGAGUCGAUAGGCUUGGCAUCCAAUGUGGAAGCACGAUGUGUUCCGUUUUUCAUAGAAUGGUACUUUUUCUGGCAUCUCCCAGUUCAGUCUCCCCUUCACCUGUAGGGAAGUCAAGCUCCAGCUGCUUAAAUCCCUUGAUAACUUCAUCCACCCCGAUAACAGCAUAAUUAUCUGGAAUCGAAGAGCAAUGGUAAGUUCCAUCACGUACAGGAGGUAAGGCAAAGCCGACCGCCACCUUCACAGAUAUGUUCAUGCAUUUCACAUGUAUCUCACAAUUUUCCCUCCGCGGUAUCAUCCACGGGGUAGCGAGGAGUCGUGAUAUCAUCUAUGGGCCGAACGAGGUCCGUGGAAGCCAUGCUGCUUUUUCGCUGAGAUGGUGGGGCGGAGAAUUAAAUGCAGGAUCUUUGUGCCGCUGAGAUGGGCCGGUAGCUUGCUGGCUGGUAAGUGCCUCUAUUUGCUUCUGCUGCAACGCUAUUUUUUCUUCUAUCUGCUGCAGGCGGCCAACAUGUUGUUUCUUUUUUCUCACUCGGCUUCUAUAAGUGUCACUGCAGUCGGGAAACCCAAGCUUCCACGGAACGGAGCCUGAUGUGUCUCGUGUUCAUCCACUGUGUUCAGCAUUCCCGAGGGCGCAUGUCAGCUUAUCGUUCUCUCUGUCAGGAUUGAACUUCCCGUCCUGCACAUCCCUCAUUGCGGCUUUAAGGGCUUUGAGGGGUGUUGCAAGUUGAUCUUUUAUAAAAAUAUACUUUCCUAUUUUUGGGUCCAACUUUCCCCCGUGCCCGUGGAGCCAAGUCUUUGCCCGUUCGGCCCACUCCAAUGUCUCUGGGUCGAUCCCUUUAGCAAUCAGGUCGUUUUCAGUUUUCUCCCACUUAGGUAUGGCAACCUUGUAGCCACCUGACCCAUAACAUGGCGAUAUUCCUUCUUUGUGACAUUGUUCUUAUUUAUUUCUGACAUUUUCUUAGCUUCAUCCGAUGUCUUGUACUUCACAAAUGCGGGUUAGUGAUCUUUUAUCUUCUCAUAUGCUCCGGUGAAUGUUGGAGUCUUGUUUUUUAGGACAUAGUCUUGGUGCAAUCUUUUUUUCCAGUUGUAGAAUUGUGCGACCAUCUUCUUAAGAGUCCACGCCUUGACUUUUCCCUCUAUAACUUUGUUAUUUGGAUCCACCUCUGGCGGUAGGGUGAAAUUUGUCAUGAGCGUAUUCCAAAGCAUUUCUUUGGAUCUAUCGUCGACAUAAGUAACUCCAUCCACCUUUGGCUUAUUCCAUUCUUGAAUGGUGAUCGGGAUGCUAUCCCUAACAAUAACUCCGCACUGACUUACAAAUCAGUUUGUGUUCUGUGUGGGACCAAUCAGUUUGCCAUAUUCAGUGACUUCUUUGAUCUUGAAAGUUUCAUUAUCGCCCAAUCUGUAAUGUAACCUGUUUACCAUGGUAACUGAUAACACCAAAUUUGGUUUGGAUUGGCUGGGUUGUAAAAUGUAAAUUGAGUAAAAAGGUUGCAGAGAAGAACAUACAAAUACUCAUCAACUCCUGUGAACGUACGUACCAGUGUCUCAGUGGCAGCCAGCACUAUCACGAAUUGUUUAAGUACCUUAGGAAGACAAUGAUCGCAUAAGAGAUUUUAUUCAUGUGGUGGUGGUUGAAGUGGGCAAUUGUUAAUGCCAGCGUCCCCCUUUUAGGCACUCUGGACACCCAUAAUCUGAAUCCAUUAUUCUAAUGGCCAUUAGGGUUGGGCGAUGAUUCUCUUACAAUAGCCUGCAAAUCAGGGAGGACUACUUGCACAGCUACUUACCUUUAAUCCAAGUCUAUUUUAUUCUAAUUGCCAGUAGACUGCAUAGUGUCAUGAAUUGCGACGAAAGUUGUGUGUAUCAACAAAAAUAUGACUAAUGUUCUUUUCUGUGCAAGUGAUCCUCAUUUCAUUUGACUUUCAUGAGAAGAAUGAGGAACAGAUGCAGCUUUGACAAGAACGUCCAAAAGCCACGGAACAGGGCCAGGAGGCAGGGGGUAAGGCCCGGACUGAAUAAACAAGCCUCCAAGCGUCAUGGAAAAGACGAACAUCAGGCAUGGGCCUACUUAUGAUCUACUCUGUGUCCCACUAUCCCUAAAAUGGAUAUUGCAGGUGAUCAUCUCCAUCCGGUCCCUUAAAAACUUCCCAUCAAAGUGAUUUUUGGCGGUGGCAUGGCCACGACAAAUAGCGGACAACGGUGGUCUGCAGCGGCAGCGGGCGGGCAGGCGGCUUGGCGGCGAUGGUCAGCAAUGGACAGCCGUGGCGCGGCGAUGUGGCACUUUUAUGAGGACUUUCCCCCCCUAAUGGAGGAGUUGGGAUAUGGUACAGAAUGUAUACACCCUAAAAUGUAUUCCUCCAAGAGAAGUUGCCAUAUAUUUUGGUCCAUCGCAACUAUGUGAUUUCGGGUAAGAGGAGUCUUGACAUUUUUUGAAUAUUUACCAUAUGGUCAAAUAGUUAAAUCAACUCCCAUGCACUCCCUCUAUAAAGAAAUAUAAGAGCAUUUACAUCACUAAAGUAGUAAUCUAAACGCUCUUAUAGUUCUUUACAGAGGGAGUACAUAUUUGAUCCCAUAGAAGAGUUAGAUUCGAUUCCAUUCGAAGCAUGUAAAAUUAAGUGUGGUUGAUGGAAAUAGAAAGUUAGAAAUAAUGUAUGCUGCCGCAGAAUAUAUAACUGGCCAUUGAUAUCUCUCAUUCAUAUACAUUUGUUUGUAAGACAUGAUCUUUCAGAAAGUUCAUUCCAUAUGUACAUGGAGCACCCUCCAUAUGCAUUAUAGAGGCUGCCGAGGUGAUGCGUAAAAUCAAAGUCUCCAUAUUCGCUGCCUCCAUUUCAUGGGCCCGUUCGUCAAUGGGCAUGCUUUUUCUCCAAUAUUUAUGUCAUCCCGCGUGAGAUGAGGGACCAUGUGAAGUUUACUUCGCGCCACACACAACAACACCAUAUGGACAUGCUCCGAAAUUUGGUCACUCUGUUGAAGCAAGAGAAGAGGGUCAUCCACCUGCGAUACGAGGAUGCUCUGGACGACUGCGAUGAUGGUAGCGGCCAUCAACAGGAUGACAACGAGCAAUGUGUAUACGCGUAGCCUCCUUGCUGGUGAGGUCCGUUCGGUGAUGGUGGCAAGGUGAUGCUUCACGUACGUGAAGAAGGCCGACGUGAAGAUGGUAAACGACAGGACGCUCGAUGGGCGGAGGGGUGUUUAGGGGCGCCUCAAGGUGGUUGUGAGGACGAAGAACCUAGCUUGUAGCAGGGUGGCUCUCCAUAUAUGGCUUCCUUGAACGCCAACAUCAAAACAUGCACAAAAUAUCAGAAACAAGAUNNNNNNNNNNNNNNNNNNNNNNNNNNNNNNNNNNNNNNNNNNNNNNNNNNNNNNNNNNNNNNNNNNNNNNNNNNNNNNNNNNNNNNNNNNNNNNNNNNNNNNNNNNNNNNNNNNNNNNNNNNNNNNNNNNNNNNNNNNNNNNNNNNNNNNNNNNNNNNNNNNNNNNNNNNNNNNNNNNNNNNNNNNNNNNNNNNNNNNNNNNNNNNNNNNNNNNNNNNNNNNNNNCAUUGUCUUCAAUGGUUUCAAGCCCCUAAAUUCUAAAGUGGAUGUAAUCUUGACUUAUCUGAUCUAUUUAGGCGCUAGUCAAUUCUGACUGUUAUACUACCAGCAACUGAGAUUUUCUAAAUAUACUUUUAACAUAAAAAGAUGAACAAACUGGUGAGAUAUAUCAUAUUGUAGACAUACACUUCUUACUCCUGGAUUCAAAUUAUUUCUUAUGAUUAAUCUUUGCAGUUUUUGUUCAUAACCGUACAUUUGAAAAAUUUACUGGAAACAGAAAUAACUAUUAUCUUGGAAAGUGCCAUUCCAAGAAACAUCAAGUUUGAGCUCAAAGUAGGGACUAUUGCUAAGGACCCGUGUGUUGACAUUCAGCAAGUUGAACUCAUGGAAGUUAUCAAGGCAAACCAUUCUGAAGAUGAAUAGACCACCCCAACCGCUACAAUGUAGUGCAAUUUUUGGCUGGAACUAAAAAGUUAGAGAUAUAUUACUUCCCAGCGUCCAUACACAAAGAAUUGCCACUUUAAGCAUCCUAGUUUAACAAAAUAAUAGGAUAACCACAACAACUAUCCUAAUAGCAGCUUUUCACUAAGGCCAAGGCAUCAUAACACUUUGUUUAUUUCUUACAUGACCGUGUUAGCUAAGAGUUAACUAGUGAUUAAUAGUUUAAUACCAUGCUAUUGAAUAAACAUGAAUUUUCAACAAUUGUAUCCCAAACUGAAAGAAGAUAUUGUGAUUAUAAAGUCUAUGACAACAACUUGGAGUGUAGCGCAUGUAUGGGAUGCCAUGACUCGUUCUUGUCUAUGUGAUUGUGAUUCCAGUGAUGCACCAUGUGAGUAAUCCUCCAACAUGUUUGAUCAAAGGAUAGUUUCAUAUACACAUACUUAUGUAACCAUAAAUGCAUAGAUAGUUGUUACUUCUUCGGAUGUAAAUUCCUAUGUUACCAUGGAUGCAAAAAUAGUUAUUACUACUUCGGGUGUAAACCACCAUUGCUAGUAAAAAUCAAUAUCAUGAAGAAAAACCGAAAGAGAAGUUGGAAAAUGUCGGCAUAUAUGUUUAGCGAGCUGUAGAACAGAGCUAGACAAAACUUUUGAACUGAUGCAUAUGUUUGCUUGAUCAAUCCACGAAGACUCGGAACUAUGCAGUGAAGCCAUUGAAACACUCAGAAUAAUCAAGCAAACUAUUUUGGAAACAAAACACUUUUGUCAGUAAAUAGACUCACCCAAGACAAACAGAAGAAACUGUCGACAUGUAUAUGUAGCUAUUGAAUAGAGCUAUGAAGGCCUAUGAUGGCAUAUAAUUGCUAAUAUCAUAUAUGAUUAUCGUUCUAAAUAAUAUAUUUUAUGGUAUGAAUUUAGCAACUUGAUGUCAAUGUUUUGCACACAAACAUGGAAAUGAAGCAGAAUUGAGAAUGUCUCCCAACAAUUUGAUCAAACUAUGCACAGACUGAAUGACGUGAUAGUUUCGACAUACACUACUGGGAAAAGGCUUAUAGGUGCCCCCUAAUGAGUGGUGGGUAGAGGCUAGCACCCACCAUAGCUAUUUUGGAAAAUUUGCAGUGGCGGGUGCUAUAAACAACACACCACUGCUAUCCACAUAACAGUGGUGGGCGUAAGCAAGGACCCGCCACUCCUACACUCUUGUUAAUUUCUUCAUGGGGGAAAAAUAGCAGUGGCGGAUGUUGGUGUCUUGGAUUAGGGUUGCUAAGCACGUCGACCCGCUGGUCAUGGGCCGAGCUCAAGACCUGAUAUGUAUCAAACAUAUCUACUUUUCCAAACACUUUUAAUCUUGUUUUCGACUCUAAUUUGCAUGAUUUGAGUGGAACUAACCCGGACUGACUCUAUUUUCAGCAGAACUAGCAUGGUGUUGUAUUUGUGCAGAAACAAAAGUUUUCUGAUUGGGCUAAAAACUUACGAUGAAUAUUUUCAGAAUAUAUGAAUAAUAUUGGCAGAGAGAGCUACUAGAGGGGCCACCUAGGAGCCACGAGCUCAGGCCCCCCAGGGCGCGCCUAGAGAGCUCGUGGGCCCCCUGGACCUCCGGCAACCCUAACUCCAACUCUAUAAAGACCGUCUUGCGGAGAAAAAUAUCAGAGAGAAAGUUGUUCCUCUGCUCUGUUUUUAGGUCUUUUUUCUUCAGAUUUUUCCGUUUCUUUAGUUCUCUGGAUUGAAUUAGUGCUUGGUGAGAAUAAUAAUAAGUAACUGUUGUCUUAGUGGCUCAUCUAGCUAGCUCCUGUAUGUAUCAGUGGAUUGUUUGAUAGGUGUGUCAAUUGUCACCAUGGAUGGAAUUGAUCAAUGGACAAAAAUAAGCACACAGAAGAAGCAUAUGCAUCUUUCCGUCCAACCAUCAUCAUCCUGUCAUCUUUGUUUGUGAAUUGUGACUGCUCCUGCUCCUUGCAACGUCUCUAUCUUUCUAUCCUAGUACCAUGCCACUCACACAUAUUAUUAUCUACCAUCGUUCAGUUGUUUGCAAAAUUCAGGUGCUGAUGCGCCCAUCAGCUAUUUUCUAGAACGGAAUCACACUUUUUAGCAGGGAAUUUCAUUGCAUUGCCAUUGUAGCAUUUGCGGCCUUGUUGUGUUGCAUGUGACUGCGGUUAGUCAGCUGCGGGUAGAAUAAUCGUCCCGAGUGGGGGAUGUACUGUACUUUACUUGUGGGUGGGAAACCAACUUUGUCAUGCUGACAUGAAUCAUAUCUUCCUCUCUCUGUAUUUGCCUGAUUGCUCUGAUUGGUGCUGUUUUGAUAUAAUUAUCAAGAUGAUUGCAUUUGAUUGGCCUUUUCCUUUCUAUCUUUUCGUUCUUCUUUGUGGCAAGUGGGGGAGGGGAGGAGGGUCCUAUCCUCCUAUGAGAUACCCGGAUUUCUGAUUCUCCUCCAUGUUGGCCCUGUUUGGAUUCAUGUGUUAGAGUUAGUUUGAACUAGUUCGGGCUCAAAUAGCCCUAAAGUAUCCAAAGAUGAGGGCUAGUUUGAGCUAGUUGCAUCUAACCCAGAAAAAAACUAUCCCACCCAAGAGGUGCUAAUUGGAGCUAGUUAUCCUAGUGCAUUUAUUGUCAAUUUAACCCUGUCAUCAAAACACCUCUUUGGCUAGAGUUAGUUCAGGGUUAGUCAUGAGCUAGAAACUAACUCUAACCUUUAGUUAAGUUAGAAUAUCCAAACAAAGCCGUUCUCUUUUCCCAUUCUUUUUUAUAUAAAACGAGAGGGUACCAGUAUCCUUGACGGAUAGCGGAGCACUAAACGAGGGUCAACUCUGUCCUGCUGCGUGCCUUGGCAAAGCAUGUCUGCCUGGGCCUCCACAUGUGCUGCGGCUGCUGCAAUUCUUUGGCAUUCUUCUGUCCUUUCACUCCCCUGCUGUUCUAAUCCAGUUGCAAUAGAGAAAAUGCGAUCAAGAUUCUGAUAAAUAAUACUGCUACAGUAGUAGUGAAGUACAGACCGAUUUUCAGUCCAAAAAACAAACACACACACCGGAGAUUCUGAUGAAUCGCCCCUUUCUGGGAAUGGUGAUAUAUACUGUAAUCUAGCAUUCAUCCGCCCUUCCACUCCCCUGAUGGUUGCCGCUACUGUUGUUGAUCCAGAUGCAAUGGAGAAUUGAGAUCAUGAUUAUGAAGAGUGAGACGUUUUUAACAUAUUAGAGUAAAAAAACGUACCACGAGUGACCGCGUCUUUCCUUUUUAGCGCGCUGGUUGUCUCUUGAGAUUGUGGUAGAAGCAGCCUGAGAAGUGUGGAUGUGUGGUGGAGGUAUAUAUGGGCGCGUUUGGUUGCCUGCAUGAGGCCCAACCAGGCCCGCGCGGGAAGAAAAUGGCCUGUUUGGUUGGCUGCAUACACUGUUGGGCCUGCAUGGCACGAUGUUUAAAGCACUCCUUGGCCUGGCUCCCUGGGAACGUUCGAAUCUGCAGUUUCUCCAGGGCCAGGCCCGAGCGGUGCACGUGGGCGGCGACGGCUGCACGCGCGCGGCCACGCUCGAGAAGCCGCAUUGCUUCCCGAAGCACCGACAGUUAUUAGCCUCACCGCUCCCUCUCCCCACUCUCCCAACUCUCACCGACAACGGAGGAUCGGAGGAGAGGAAGAAGACCACCGGACUCCAUCACCGGCGAGCGGAUCAUCACUUGGCCCGUGGAAAUGGCGGUAAGCACUUCUCUCUGUUCGUCAUGCACUACGUUUUCGCGUUCGAUCCGGCGAUAGAUUCGAUCCACGGCGGAGAGGGGAAUGGGGAAUAGAGGUAGAUAUUAGCAAGGCAGUUCAUACCGAAGGAAAUAUGCCCUAGAGGCAAUAAUAAAGUUAUUAUUUAUUUCCUUAUUUCAUGAUAAAUGUUUAUUAUUCAUGCUAGAAUUGUAUUAACCGGAAACAUAAUACAUGUGUGAAUACAUAGACAAACAUAGUGUCACUAGUAUGCCUCUACUUGACUAGCUCGUUGAUCAAAGAUGGUUGAGUUUCCUAGCCAUAGACAUGAGUUGUCAUUUGAUUAACGUGAUCACAUCAUUAGAAGAAUAAUGUGAUUGACUUGACCCAUUCCGUUAGCAUAGCACUUGAUCGUUUAGUUUACUGCUAUUGCUUUCUCCAUGACUUAUACAUGUUCCUAUGACUAUGAGAUUAUGCAACUCCUGAAUACCGGAGGAACACUUUGUGCGCUACCAAAUGUCACAACAUAACUGGGUGAUUAUAAAGGUGUUCUAUAGGUGUCUCCGAUGGUACUUGUUGAGUUGGCACAGAUCGAGAUUAGGAUUUGUCACUCCGAUUGUCGGAGACGUAUCCCUGGGCCCUCUCGGUAAUACACAUCACUAUAAGCCUUGCAAGAAAUGUGACUAAUGAGUUAGUUGCGCGAUGAUGCAUUAUGAAACGAGUAAAGAGACUUGCCGGUAACGAGAUUGAGCUGGGUAUUGAGAUACCGACGAUCGAAUCUCGGGCAAGUAACAUACCGAUGACAAAGGGAACAACGUAUGUUGUUAUGCGGUUUGACCGAUAAAGAUCUUCGUAGAAUAUGUGGGAGCCAAUAUGAGCAUCCAGGUUCCGCUAUUGGUUAUUGACCGGAGACGUGUCUCGGUCAUGUCUACAUAGUUCUCGAACCCGUAGGGUCCGCACGCUUAACGUUCGGUAUUAUGAGUUUAUGUGUUCUGAUGUACCGAAGGUAGUUCGGAGUCCCGGAUAUUAUCACGGACAUGGCAAGGAGUCUCGAAAUGGUUGAGACAUAAAGAUCGAUAUAUUGGACGACUAUAUUCGGACACCGGAAGUGUUCCGGGUGGUUUCGGAUAAAACCGGAGUGUCGGAGGGGUUACCGGAACCCCCCGGGGGAGUAUUGGGCCUUAGUGGGCUUUAGGAGAGAGAGAGGGCAGCAGCCCACGAGGUGGCGCGCCCCCUCCCAUGAGGGGUCCGAAUUGGACUAGGGGAGGGGGGCGCACCCCCCCUUUCCUUCUCCUCUUUCCCUCUCUUUCCUUCCCCCUUCCCUCUUCCUAGUUGGACUAGGAAAGGGGAGUCCUACUCCCACUAGGAGGAGGACUCCCCCCUCCUUGGCGCGCCCCAAGGGCUGGCCGGCCUCCCCCCUUGCUCCUUUAUAUACUGGGGCAGGGGGGCACCCAAAGACACAACAAGUUGAUCAUUGAUCUCUCUUAGCCGUGUGCGGUGCCCCCCUCCACCAUAAUGUACCUCGGUCAUAUCGUAGCGGUUCUUAGACGAAGCCCUGCGUCGAUAACUUCAUCAACACCGUCAUCACGCCGUCGUGCUGACGAAGCUCUCCCUCGAAGCUCUACUGGAUCGUGAGUUCGCGGGACGUCACCGAGCUGAACGUGUGCUGAACACGGAGGUGCCGUACGUUCGGUACUGAGGAUCGGUCGAUCGUGAAGACGUACGACUACAUCAACCGCGUUGUCAUAACGCUUCCGCUUACGGUCUACGAGGGUACGUAGACAACACUCUCACCUCUCGUUGCUAUGCAUCACCAUGAUCUUGCGUGUGCGUAGGAUUUUUUUUGAAAUUUCUACGUUCCCCAACAGUGGCAUCCGAGCCAGGUUUAUGCCUAGAUGUUAUAUGCACGAGUAGAACACAAGUGAGUUGUGGGCGAUACAAGUCAUACUGCUUACCAGCAUGUCAUACUUUGGUUCGACGGUAUUGUUGGAUGAAGCGGCCCGGACCGACAUUACGCGUACGCUUAUGCGAGACUGGUUCUACCGACGUGCUUUGCACACAGGUGGCUGGCGGGUGUCUGUUUCUCCAACUUUAAUUGAACCGAGUGUGGCUACGCCCGGUCCUUGUGAAGGUUAAAACAACACUAACUUGACGAAAUAUCGUUGUGGUUUUGAUGCGUAGGUAAGAACGGUUCUUGCUCAGCCCGUAGUAGCCACGUAAAACUUGCAACAACAAAGUAGAGGACGUCUAACUUGUUUUUGCAGGGCAUGCUGUGAUGUGAUAUGGACAAGACAUGAUGCUAAUUUUUAUGAGAUGAUCAUGUUUUGUAACAGAGUUAUCGGCAACUGGCAGGAGCCAUAUGGUUGUUGCUUUAUUGUAUGCAAUGCAAUCGCCCUGUAAUUGUUUUUACUUUGUCACUAAGCGGUAGCGAUAGUCGUAGAAACUAUAGUUGGCGAGACAACAACGAUGCUACGAUGGAGAUCAAGGUGUCGCACCGGUGACGAUGGUGAUCAUGACGUUGUUUUGGAGAUGGAGAUCAAAGGCACAAGAUGAUGACGGCCAUAUCAUAUCACUUAUAUUGAUUGCAUGUGAUGUUUAUCUUUUAUGCAUCUUAUUCUGCUUUGUUUUACGGUAGCAUUAUAAGAUGAUCUCUCACUAAAUUUCAAGGUAUAAGUGUUCCCCCUGAGUAUGCACCGUUGCGAAAGUUCGUCGUGCCGAGACACCACGUGAUGAUCGGGUGUGAUAAGCUCUACGUUCAAAUACAACGGGUGUAAGCCAGUUUUGCACACGCAGAAUACUCGGGUUAAACUUGAUGAGCCUAGCAUAUGCAGAUAUGGCCUCGGAACACUGAGACCGAAAGGUCGAGCAUGAAUCAUAUAGUAGAUAUGAUCAACAUAGUGAUGUUCACCAUUGAAAACUACUCCAUCUCACGUGAUGAUCGGACAUGGUUUAGUUGAAAUGGAUCACGUGAUCAUUUAGACGAUUAGAGGGAUGUCUAUCUAAGUGGGAGUUCUUAAGUAAUAUGAUUAAAUGAACUUUAAUUUAUCAUGAACUUAGUCCUGGUAGUAUUAGCAUAUCUAUGUUGUAGCUCAAUAGCUCGCGUUUAGCUCCCCUGUUUUAUUUUUGAUAUGUUCCUAGAGAAAACUAAGUUGAAAGAUGUUAGUAGCAAUGAUGCGGAUUGGAUCCGUGAUCUGAGGACUAUCCUCACUGCUGCACAGAAGAAUUAUGUCCUUGAUGCACCGCUAGGUGACAGACCGAUUGCAGGAGCAAAUGCAGACGUUAUGAACGUUUGGCAAGCUCGAUAUGAUGACUACUUGAUAGUUUAGUGCACCAUGCUUUACGGCUUAGAAUCGGGGCUUCAAAUACGUUUUUGAAACGCGCACGGAGCAUAUGAGAUGUUCGAAGAGUUGAAAUUAGUAUUUUAGACUCAUGCCCAUGUCGAAAGGUAUGAGACCUUUGACAAGUACUUUGCCUACAAGAUGGAGGAGAAUAGCUCAGCUAGUGAGCAUGUGCUCAGAAUGUCUGAGUACUACAAUCACUUGAAUCAAGUGGGAGUUAAUCUUCCAGAUAAGAUAGUGAUUGACAGAGUUCUCUAGUCACUAUCACCAAGUUACUAGAACUUCGUGAUGAACUAUAAUAUGCAAGGGAUAACAGAAACGAUUCCCAAGCUCUUCGUGAUGUUGAAAUCAACGAAGGUAGAAAUCAAUAAAAGCAUCAAGUGUUGAUGGUUGACAAGACCACUAGUUUCAAGAAAAAGGGCAAAGGGAAGAAGGGGAACUUCAAAAAGAAUGGCAAGCAAGUUGCUGCUCUCGUGCGGAAACCCAAAGCUAGACCCAAGCCUGAAACUGAGUGCUUCUACUGCAAAGGAAAUGGUCACUUGAAGUGGAACUGCCCUAGAUACUUAGCGGAUAAGAAGGAUGGCAAAGUGAACAUAUGUAUAUUGGAUAUACAUGUUAUUGAUGUGUACUUUACUAGUGUUUAUAGCAACCCCUCGGCAUUUGAUACUGGUUCAGUUGCUAAGAGUAGUAACUUGAUACGGGAGUUGCAGAAUGAACAGAAACUAGUUAAGGGCGAGGUGACGAUGUGUGUUGGAAGUAGUUCCAAGAUUGAUAUGAUCAUCAUCGCACACUCCCUAUACUUUCGGAAUUAGUGUUGAACCCAAAUAAGUGUUAUUUGGUGUUUCGUUGAGCAUGAAUAUGAUUUGAUCAUGUUUAUUGCAAUACGGUUAUUCAUUCAAGUUAGAGAAUAAUUGUUGUUCUGUUUACAUGAAUAAAACCUUCUAUGGUCAUACACCCAAUGAAAAUGGUUUGUUGGAUCUCGAUCGUAGUGAUACACAUAUUCAUAAUAUUGAAGCCAAAAGAUGCAAAGUUAAUAAUGAUAGUGCAACUUAUUUGUGGCACUGCCGUUUAGGUCAUAUUGGUGUAAAGCACAUGAAGAAACUCCAUGCCGAUGGGAUUUUGGAAUCACUUGAUUAUGAAUCACUUGAUGCUUGCGAACCAUGCCUUAUGGGAAAGAUGACUAAGACUCCGUUCUCCGGAACAAUGGAGCGAGCAACUGACUUAUUGGAAAUAAUACAUACUGAUGUAUGCGGUCUGAUGAAUGUUGAGGCUCGCGGCGGGUAUCGUUAUUUUCUGACCUUCACAAAUGAUUUGAGCAGAUAUAGGUAUAUCUACUUGAUGAAGCACAAGUCUGAAACAUUUGAAAAGUUCAAAGAAAUUCAGAGUGAAGUGGAGAAUCAUCGUAACAAGAAAAUAGAAGUUUCUACGAUAUGAUCGCAGAGGUAAAAUAUUUGAGUUAACGAGUUUGGCCUUCAGUUAAAACAAUGUGAAAUAGUUUCACUACUCACGCCACCCGGAACAUCACAGCGUAAUGGUGUGUCCGAACGUCGUAAUCGUACUUUACUAGAUAUGGUGCGAUCUAUGAUGUCUCUUACUGAUUUACCGCUAUCGUUUUGGGGUUAUGCAUUAGAGACAACUACAUUCACGUUAAAUUGGGGAUCAUCUAAAUCUGUGGAGAUGACACCAUAUGAACUGUGGUUUGGCGAGAAACCUAAGCUGUCAUUUCUUAAAGUUUGGGACUGCGAUGCUUAUGUGAAAAAGUUUCAACAUGAUAAGCUCGAACCCAAAUCGGAGAAGUAAAUCUUCAUAGGAUACCCAAAAGAAACUGUUGGGUACACCUUCUAUCACAGAUCCGAAGGCAAGAUAUUUGUUGCUGAGAAUGGAUCCUUUCUAGAGAAGGAGUUUCUCUCGAAAGAAAUGAGUGGGAGGAAAGUAGAACUUGAUGAGGUAAAUGUACCUUCUCUUGAAUUGGAAAGUAGCUCAUCACUGAAAUCAGUUCGAGUGAUGCCUACACGAAAGAGUGAGGAAGUUAAUGAUGAUGAUCAUGAAACUUCAAAUCAAGUUAAUAUCAAGCCUCGUAGGUCAACCAGAGUAAGAUCCGCACCAGAGUGGUACGAUAAUCCUGUUCUGGAAGUCAUGUUACUAGACCAUGACGAACCUGCGAACUAUGAGGAAGCAAUGAUGAGCCCAUAUUCCGCAAAAUGGCUUGAGGCCAUGAAAUCUGAGAUAGGAUCCAUGUAUGAAAACAAAGUAUGGACUUUGGUGGAAUUGCCCGAUGAUCGGCAAGCCAUUGAGAAUAAAUGGAUCUUCAAGAGGAAGACAAAUGCCGAUAGUAGUGUUACUAUCUAUAAAACUCGAAUUGUCGAAAAAAUGUUUUCGACAAGUUCAAGAUGUUGAAAAAAAAUGAGAUUUUCUCACUUGUAUCGAUGCUUAAAAGUCCGUCCGAAUCAUGUUAGCAAUUGCCGCAUUUUAUGAAAUUUGGCAAAUGGAUGUCAAACCUGCAUUCCUUAAUGGAUUUCUUAAAAGAAGAGUUGUAUAUGAUGCAACCAGAAAGAUUUGUCGAUCCUAAAGGUGCUAACAAAGUAUGCAAAGCUCCAGCGAUCCAUCUAUGGACUGGUGCAAGCAUCUCGGAGUUGGAAUAUACACUUUGAUAAGUUGAUCAAAGCAUAUAGUUUUAUACAGACUUACGGUGAAGCCUGUAUUUACAGAAGUGAGUGGGAGCACUACAUCCUUUCUGAUAAGUAUAUGUGAAUGACAUAUUGUUGAUCGGAAAUAAUGUAGAAUUUUUUGGAAAAGCAUAAAGGAGUGUUUGAAGGGAGUUUUUCAAAGAAAGACUUCAGUGAAGCUGCUUACAUAUUGAGCAUCAAGAUCUAUAGAGAUAGAUCAAGCCGCUUGAUAAGUUUUUUCAAUGAGUACAUACCUUGAUAAGAUUUUGAAGUAGUUUAAAAUGGAACAGUCAAAGAAGGAGUUCUUGCCUGUGUUACAAGGUGUGAAAUUGAGUAAGACUCAAAGCCCGACCACGGCAGAAGAUAGAAAGAGAAUGAAAGUCGUUCCCUAUGCCUCAGCCAUAGGUUCUAUAAAGUAUGCCAUGCUGUGUACCAGAUCUAUUGUAUACCCCACACUGAGUUUGCCAAAGGAUUACAAUAGUGAUCUAGGAGUAGAUCACUGAACAGCGGUCAAAGUUAUCCUUAGUGGAAUAAGGAUAUGUUUCUCGAUUAUGGAGGUGGCAAAAAGGUUUGUCGUAAAGAGUUACGUCGAUACAAGCUUUGACACUGAUCUGGAUGACUCUGAGUCUCGAUCUGGAUACAUAUUGAAAGUGGGAUCAAUUAGCUAGAGUAGCUCCAUGCAGAGUAUUGUAGACAUAGAAUAUUUGCAAAAUACAUACGGCUCUGAAUGUGGCAGACCCGUUGACUAAACUUCUCUCACAAGCAAAACAUGAUCACACCUUAGUACUCUUUGGGUGUUAAUCACAUAGCGAUGUGAACUAGAUUAUUGACUCUAGUAAACCCUUUGGGUGUUUGUCACAUGACGAUGUGAACUAUGGGUGUUAAUCACAUGGUGAUGUGAACUAUUAUUGUUAAAUCACAUGGCGAUGUGAACUAGAUUAUUGACUCUAGUGCAAGUGGGAGACUGAAGGAAAUAUGCCCUAGAGGCAAUAAUAAAGUUAUUAUUUAUUUCCUUAUUUCAUGAUAAAUGUUUAUUAUUCAUGCUAGAAUUGUAUUAACCGGAAACAUAAUACAUGUGUGAAUACAUAGACAAACAUAGUGUCACUAGUAUGCCUCUACUUGACUAGCUCGUUGAUCAAAGAUGGUUGAGUUUCCUAGCCAUAGACAUGAGUUGUCAUUUGAUUAACGUGAUCACAUCAUUAGAAGAAUAAUGUGAUUGACUUGACCCAUUCCGUUAGCAUAGCACUUGAUCGUUUAGUUUACUGCUAUUGCUUUCUCCAUGACUUAUACAUGUUCCUAUGACUAUGAAAUUAUGCAACUCCCGAAUACCGGAGGAACACUUUGUGUGCUACCAAAUGUCACAACGUAACUGGGUGAUUAUAAAGGUGCUCUACAGGUGUCUCCGAUGGUACUUGUUGAGUUGGCAUAGAUCGAGAUUAGGAUUUGUCACUCCGAUGGUCGGAGAGGUAUCUCUGGGCCCUCUCGGUAAUGCACAUCACUAUAAACCUUGCAAGCAAUGUGACUAAUGAGUUAGUUGCGGGAUGAUGCAUUAUGGAACGAGUAAAGAGACUUGCCGGUAACGAGAUUGAGCUAGGUAUUGAGAUACCGACGAUCGAAUCUCGGGCAAGUAACAUACCGAUGAUAAAGGGAACAACGUAUGAUGUUAUGCGGUUUGAUCGAUAAAGAUCUUCAUAGAAUAUGUGGGAGCCGAUAUGAGCAUCCAGGUUCCGCUAUUGGUUAUUGACCGGGGACGUGUCUCGGUCAUGUCUACAUAGUUCUCGAACCCGUAGGGUCCGCACGCUUAACGUUCGGUGAUGAUCGGUAUUAUGAGUUUAUGUGUUUUGAUGUACCGAAGGUAGUUCGGAGUCCCGGAUAUGAUCACGGACAUGACGAGGAGUCUCGAAAUGGUCGAGACAUAAAGAUUGAUAUAUUGGACGACUAUAUUCGGACACCGGAAGUGUUCCGGGUGGUUUCGGAUAAAACCGGAGUGCUGGAGGGGUUACCGGAACCCCCCGGGGGAGUAUUGGGCCUUAGUGGGCUUUAGGAGAGAGAGAGGGCAGCAGCCCACGAGGUGGCGCACCCCCUCCCAUGAGGGGUCCGAAUUGGACUAGGGGAGGGGGGCGCACCCCCCCUUUCCUUCUCCUCUUUCCCUCUCUUUCCUUCCCCCUUCCCUCUUCCUAGUUGGACUAGGAAAGGGGAGUCCUACUCCCACUAGGAGGAGGACUCCCCCCUCCUUGGCGCGCCCCAAGGGCUGGCCGGCCUCCCCCCUUGCUCCUUUAUAUACGGGGGCAGGGGGGCACCCAAAGACACAACAAAUUGAUCAUUGAUCUCUCUUAGCCGUGUGCGGUGCCCCCUCCACUAUAAUCCACCUCGGUCAUAUCGUAGCGGUGCUUAGACGAAGCCCUGCGUCGAGAACUUCAUCAACACCGUCAUCAUGCCGUCGUGCUGACGAAGCUCUCCCUCGAAGCUCUACUGGAUCGUGAGUUCGCGGGACGUCACCGAGCUAAACGUGUGCUGAACACGGAGGUGCCGUACGUUCGGUACUGAGGAUCGGUCGAUCGUGAAGACGUACGACUACAUCAACCGCGUUGUCAUAACGCUUCCGCUUACGGUCUACGAGGGUACGUAGACAACACUCUCACCUCUCGUUGCUAUGCAUCACCAUGAUCUUGCGUUUGCGUAGGAUUUUUCUUGAAAUUUCUAUGUUCCCCAACACAUACGAGUUCAUACUACUUCAUACUAGUUCGUGCAAGAUCGAAAUAGAGGUAGAUGCGGAUGGAGUAGAAGGGGGGUUGGGGGAUUGGGGUACAGAUCAGACACCGGCUAACCGCGGCCGCCGUCACCGGCGUGCGGAGCGGCGGGUCGAGUGUCUGGCCUUCAUUUUCUUGUCCAUCGCCAUGUGGGGCCGCGGGUCAUUGUUGCUGUUGGAGGAGUCGAGGUCGAUCUGCCACGUACGACGGCCUGGCUCCGGCGCCCUCACUAGCAUCUGCACCGGUUCUUCCUCCUCCUUAGGCUCCCCACCGAUGACCGCCGGCGACACGAUAGCCGUCUCCUAGUACAAUGCGGCACGACGGUCAUUAGGAGCCCAGUAGGUCUUGUACUUGGACCACUUCCUCCUCUGUUUUGCGUCGUCGGAGACGGCCUGAUUCAUGGCCCAGUGAAUGAUGUCGAGUGCCAUCGCGCCCUUUGCUGGGCCAGGAAUCAACGUCUUCAGCUCUUGUGCAGUGGCCCUCAUGAGUACUGCAUCAGAUUUCUUCUGCAUGUCAGGCAUGGCGAAGUUCGAUCACACCUCCAUGGUGUUCUCGAACUUGGUGCAGUCACUAGCCGACCACUCGAGGAAGAAGGCCCUCCAGCCAAUACCCCAAGGGAAGGGGUCGCAUUGGAGCUGAAGCUAGAGCUCAUGGCGAUGGAGAGGAGGAAAGUUGAUAGUGAGAGAAGAGAGGGGGUGGGUAAGUAGUGCUGGGCAGGGUGAGUAAAUAUAGGCGCAUUGGAGAGGUGGAAGGGUGACAGUCAUGCCGUUUUAACUACAUGCUCUUCAAUAAGCCAUGAACUCCGUGCUCUGCCUGACUCCAUGAAUUGUGUGCAGAUCGAGGAGAGCAAUGAGAUGGGCACGGAGGUGCUCCCGGCCGUUGACAACAAGGGCAAGCAGCCCCUUCAUCCAAUGCCCGACGAGGUUGUGUUGCCGCCCACCGCCUAGGAAGACCCAAAGACGCCUGAGGUUGACGACGACGAGGGCAUGGAGGAUCCCCCCAGCAACAAGCGCCGCAACUACGGCCACUACCAUCAGAAGGAUGGCCCAACUCACUUCUGCAAGGUCAUCCUUGCACCGAAGGUUGAAUGCAUCCCAAUGCCCCUGGACUUCACCAAGCACUUCGUCGCGGUGCCGACGGAGUUCAAGCUCAGGAACAACACUGGUUGCUCCUGGAAGGUGACGGUGAAGCUGAUGAACGACAGGGUGACCCUGGAUCCGGGUUGGGCCACCUACGCAGCCGUUCAUCAGAUCAAGACCGGCUACAUGGUGACCUUCAAGCUCCUCACUCCCGACACCCUCAAGGUCAUCAUCUUCGACGACGAUGGCAUUGAGGUCGUCAACAAGUGCGGGAAGCACGAUGAAGCCUUCGCCGCCAAGGACUAGAGCCGGGGCACCUCCUUCCUAAGUACUAUCGAGUCUGAUUUGAACUGUUUAUGGUUUAUGCGUUGAACUGUUAUGAAGUGUGGUACUGCUUAUCUGAAUUAUGCUGUUAAGUAGUUGAGGCUCUGUUUAUACUCUGCUCUGCUUAUGAUGUGUGCUACAUGGUUGUGCCGAAGUGUGCUGGUAACCUCACCAACUAGCCAAAGAGGUUACCACACACCAGGCGUUGCAUACAACCAAACACCAUGCAUUGGGUUUGUCCACUAACAUGCAGGAAACCAAACACCAGACAGUGUGGUUCAGGCCAUGCAGGCAACCAAACAACUUGCAGAUGGUGCAUUUGAGGCUGCAUUUGCAUAGCCAGGCUGAGUUGAGAAGGCUAUGCAAUGUAGCUACUGUAGACUAUAUGAUGAUGAUUGUCAUGCAGACGCAGAUGUGACCAAAGCUGGUGAAAAAAUAAGUGGUAGAAAGCUGGGCCAAAUGAUGCGCACCGGCGAUUCUGACGAAUGAAUCGCGACCUUUCUGGGCAUGAUGAUAGAUAGAUAUAUAUAAUCUGGCAUCUUUUCCGCGCUGGAUGGAUUCAGCUUGUCUGUCUGCUUGUUUUGUUUGUUUCGGUGCAAGUUUAACUGUUGCCUGAAGCUUUACAAUCACACCGCAGUAGUAAACCUUUCGUCUGGUGUCGUCUCGUCUCAGAUGUUCACACCAGGUGUUCGUAAAACGGGAUACUGGUAGUACUACCAGCACCCCCGUCAUCGAUGGGGUUUGCGCCCACCAAGGUUCAAAAGCUAUCGCGGCAGGUGUAAUGCAUGCGUGCGUGCGUGCGUCGCUCAUCUCAUCACGCCGGCAAUGAUUCCUGGCGGAAAAGUCUGUACCUGCACGCCGAUGCGCUGUCGACCGCUCCAUCAGGCUCGGCGUCCGUCCGUUUCCCCGUGCGCGUACGUACUACGUACUACUGUACGUACGUAGUAUUACAGAGGAGUCGGGGUCCUUUCCUGUAAACAUAUAUACUCACCUUGUGUUUUCACUCACUCAACCGUGCACUCUCCGUCACGCUACUGCACGGACGCCCCCGCUUGACAGAGAGACGAAGAUGCCCAUAUCCCAUAACACGGACCGUUUAUUACCACAGUUUGUCAGCCAACAGAUUAUGGAGUGUUCUUUUUGUCUGUUGAGAAAUGAUUAUGGAGUUGGAGUGGUACUCACGGGGAACUAAAGGCCUAGGCCCAUGAAGAUUACAGCCUACGACACAGCCAAGCGAGGGGCCUUCUUCCACUUGUUCAAGUGCCUACACUCGGAUGCCGUUCUCUCCGGUCUGUCAAAUGUCUCCACUCGAUCACCCGCAUGACCAAUACCCGCGAGCCAACACUUAGCCCUUGGCCAGGCGAGCUCACAUGAUGCUAUGUCCGUGGUCACCGGCGACGACCUGCACACCGACGCCACGCUAACACGACCACCACCACCGAGCAUCAUACUCGCGAGGGAAGUACAAGCCUCACCGGCGAGCAUAACCCGGGCCAAGCCCGACCUCUCCUACCCGGAGCACAAGCUUCGAUCCAUCCCGGGCCCAGAUCUGGCCAGCCCGAGCAUGGACCCUAUAUUUGUACCUAUCGACGGUACACAUCCAGGAGAAGGAGGUCGUCACCACCACCCCACGCCACCCGGAGUAUGGACUCUAUAAUUUGAAAAUUGCAAAAAUUCAAAAAUGCCUGAUACUUUUUGAUAACGAAAAAAGGUGUAGUGUUAUACUCGUAUAAAAAGGUCCAUGGAGUGAAUUCCAUGGACUCUGGGACAAAAUAAAACAAAAUUGUGAACACCAAAGGUAUGGAAAGUAAUGUUUUUAGUGUUAAUUUUGUUUUGUUUCGUCUAGAAUGUCAUGAAAGUCAUUUCUUUGUGAAACUUUUCAAACGAGUAUAACACUAUAUAAUACUUGUUUCCAAGAAGUUCCAGAAUAUUUUAACUAAUUUUUCAUUUUUAAAUUUUUUCUUAUCAAUUCAGGUGCAUCGGCACCGAGACCCAAAGAUCUGCAUCCCUGGUUCUUUCAUUAUAAGGAGGAUUGAUCAUCAUCAACAAAGUAGACAAUGGGAGACCAUUGUAGACAAUGGGAGACCACCACCACUUGGGUUCCACUAAGGCCACCGCCGCCGCGUCGCCGACAUACACAGCCGGUGUCUUUCCCUCUUCGCAGGCCACCUUCGCCCCGCCCAAGAAACCAACCAUGUUCCAUGGUUCACAUGUCAUAAUCAUCAUUAAAUAGUUAUGCCACAUCAGCUUUUGCGGGUUCCACAUGUCAUAAUCAUCAUUAAAUGGACCACGGCCAUGAAUUAGUGUAUUUUGCAAAAGAUUAGGCUAAGAAUCAAUGGGUUUCGACACAAAUCUGUAAACUCAUGUUUCUUGUAACUCCAGCCUUCAAUAUUGAUGGUUUCUGGAAUUCACUCCGAGAGCGUCGCGCUCACGGUGUAGAGCAAGAUUACCGAGCAGAGGAGGAUCACGUAUGAGCAACUGUUUGGGUUGCCCUGCAUGAGCGGUAGGUUCUCCGGCGUAUUCUUGUGCAUUCCCGUGCCAUGCGUCAUGCCGCCAUUGGGGGCCCUGGAUUAGGCUCCUUCCCUCUCUCACCCCGAGCCUCUCGCUGGCAACCUUAGGCCUCACUCCGCCUUCACUGUUCGGUUCCCUCCCCAGUUCUCAUUUCCAGACACUCAAAACCCCGGCAUGGUGGAGCGGCUCGCGUCCUCGGCCUCCCUCCACCUCAGAGCAGCCUCGCCUUCCCCAUCGACCCACCACGCUGCUGUUGCCUCCGGCCUCCGCCUGGGCUUGUCGCCAAAAUCAUGUUAUACCUUUCCGGAAUUCCAAGAACUCUUUUGGAACCAUCCGGAACACUUUCAGAACUACCCAAAACUCUUUUGGUGCUCUUUUAACUCAUUUAUCAUUUCUCCGGUAAUCAUCACUAGAACCCAUUAAGCAUGUGACCCUACAGGUUCGAAAAUAAGCCGACAUGACCCGGAACCCCUUCCCGUGAAUAGUUAAUACAGGGAUCUAGACACCCUUAUUAACUCCCGGAUAUUGAUGAAGUUAUCGAGCAAAGCUUUGUUUACAAAUACCGUUCCCUUUGCUUCGCAAAACGUUUACAAAACCCUAGGUGAGAUUAUCGGUAUCCCCAUGAUCAACUCCUUGAUAACUAUACCAGUUAUCCUUGUUACCGGUUUCAUUUUCUUUACUCAUGUCCAUGUUCUAGUAUCUCAUGAUCAUAACUGCAAGUGUCUCGCCAGAUGAUAAUGACAUCGUAACACCGAGUGGGCCCACAAAGUAUCUCUCUUAUCGUGAGAGGAGUAAAUCCCAGUCUUGAACUAUUGCUACCGAUGCAUACAUUUCCGGUAAACCCGUAAGUCACCUUAAUUCACAUCCAUUUACGGAGUGACAUGUGGUAAACCCCAAAGUAUCCAUCUAUCAUGUUGGCAUGCAAUACUCUUAUGGUCUAAGGAAAAAUGAAACAUGUACAAGUAAUAUGAAGUAUCGAUAACAUUUCUCAGUAAUUCAUAAGUUAGGUCGAUUCAACUCUGCUGUUAUAAUGACAACUGUAUUCUCUUAUAUUGAUAGCAUCUUUGUUACAUCAACAAUGCUCAUGAUCAAGAAAACAAGAUCAUCAUCAAUACAUGAGCUCCUAUGCUAUGUACGUCUACGGGCUGGACAUACAUGCCUUGUGCCAGACAGAAUCAAUCAAGAUGCUUGCUUGCUUGCUUCUUUCUUGCAGCUUUGCAUGAGGGCAUUCUAGUGAUUUGAUCUAGUAAAUUUAAAACCAAGAAUCGCCAUGUCCAACACGUCACCGACUCGGCAACCAACAUAACCCGACCCCGACUUGGUACAAAUACCUCGUCCGGUUUACUCACGUAGACCCUUUCCUAAACACAAUCUAAACAAAGUUAUUAAGAAAACCAUGUAGGCCUCUUGACCUACUAUGUGACUACAACCUGGUUAACUACAACAUUCACCUCCAUGACCGUGUAGCUUUGUCUCGAUUGCUUGCAUUCCGACUUUCUUCUUCAUCUCGAUGAACUUCUGUCAUCCGAGGAACUUGGUUAUAAUGUCGGCGUCCUUUGUGUUCACGUGUUGAACCUCGAUCAUCGCUUCCUCAAUACACUCCCGAACAAUAUCCAUCAACAACACUAUGUUGAGUCUACGUUGAUUUGUUGUAGUGUUGCUAAGAUUAUUUAUAAUAAACCUUUUUACUUAUUAUAGAACAUUUCUUGAACAUAUUAUCGUAAUAAUAAUGGUAUAUUUCUAUCAUAUUUUAUCAAAUUAAUCACAUAUUAAUGCAAUGUUGAAAUAUAGUAAACGGUCUGUAGACCUCUUGUGUGUCUAUCAAAUGUGAAAACAGUUACAUUUACUUAUAUUAUUAGGAUAAUAUUUUGUAGCAACAAAUUUUUCAUGGUUCUCAAAUUUUGUUUGAUACAUUUCCCUAAAAUCAUAUUCUGCAACCAGAUUUAUGAUAUAUGCCAUCAUGCUUAAAUUUAAUUUGAUACGUUGCUCUUUAGAAUCAUCACUCGAUUGAACCUACCAAGAUAUUAGAAGCUAGAGUAUACCUAUAUGUAUUCAAGUGUGUUCCUUUAUCUUUAGGGACUUGAGAGUACAUUUCUAGUAAAAUAUCUUAACAAGAUAGUCUAGAGUUUGUGCUAGUUCAGAAAAAAUAUCCCAACGUAUUAUGUGUUUAUAAGUAGUUUGUCCAUGAAAUGUUAGCUCAUUUCUUGUUCUUUUCAUUUUCAAGUAUGAUAUUCAUGUACCAUGAUGUUCAUAUAGUUAUCAUGCAAAGUUUUUAUGCUUAGUGCAUGAUACAAAACUUAAUUUUGGACCACAAGCACACACAAGAGAAUUAUAACAACAUCUAGGUCUGCAAUAUUUUUUCUGUUGCGUUUUCCUUUGUUUGACACCAAUUUUCAUAAAUUUGUAAAUGUAUAAUUGUAUAUCAUCUUGUCUAUACUAGUUUUACAUUAACCAUUAGCAAGAUUAUAUAAGUUUUGUAUAUUUUUGUUUUUUGAGAACCAGUUUCAAUGUUAUCUUUUGAUAAAAAGGUAAUUUUUCUAAAUCAUUGAAGGUCCAUCUUGCACAUGUGGCCGAAGCGUACUGUUGUGCGUGUGUUUAAUCCUACAUGGAGGAAGUCGACCAUAAUAUAUACCCGAAGGAUCAAAGAUGCCCUACGUUUUGAUGACGGGGGAUGUGCGACUGGCAAAUUUAAUCUUUUUCUUAGAUGCUUUUAAAGGCAAGUACAAAAAUGUAAGCUCUCUAGAUAUGCAACUAAGUGAUACACUAUACAAUGAGUUAGAACAAGCAAGCAAGCUACACAAGGCAACAAUCGAGUAAGUAAUAACAGAGUAAAGUUAGGAUCAAGAGGCUACCGAAUGGAAUGUAGAUGAAGUGUAAUAAUAAGUUCACACUCUCGAGGGAGUGUUAAUCUCCGUUGGAGAGAUAGGGAAUAAUGAAUAAUCACAUGACAAAUUGUAAUGUGUGUGGGUCGUCUCAUUAAACUCGGGCCGCUGCACUGAAUCAAAGCUCAAAUAGUACUCCUUCCUAGCUAUUCGUCAGAAUCGAAGCUACAUUGUCUUGUUGCGGUUGAGUUCUAUCGUAGAUCUUCAUAUGACUCUAAAUGACCUCUUCGGUGUGGGUCGGGUCGACGAUUGUCUAUGGUGAAUUCGGAGUUGCUUGCUCCCGGUUUUAGGGAUGUCGAUGUGCCUACUUGGGGAGAAGUGGUGCCGAUGAGGUACAUGUGAUUCCUCGGUAGGGCCCUCCUUAGAGAGAGAUGUAUGGGUUUAGCAGGUUGUGAUAGUUUUCACUCGGUUUUAUGUUAACUAACUGGGCAAUUCUCACUUUUUAUUUAAAUGUAUGAAGCAAAUCUUUUGCCUUAGUUUAAAAUAAUUUUAUCACAUGCGUGCAAUGUCUCCUUGAACCUGGGGGCUUAUCACGCCAGCGCGAGAUGUUGGUAAUACUGUAAUACGACAUCCGUGCUUGAAAUGCAAAAAAGUGCAUGGUCAGAUCAAACAUACACCGCCACCACGGGGCUCAAAUCCCUUCUAGUCAUCCUUGCCGCCCUGAUACGUCCUGCUCCGUUGGGCAUACACCUCACCUUCCAUGUGUUUGACAAAAUGUCUGAGCUAUUUUUAAGAUUCUUUUGCUCAUUUUUAGGCAAACAAUAGAUUCGUCGGAUGAUGAUUCUGAUUACUAGGAGUUUGAUCAUUAUAUAUUCAGAGAGUUUAUCUAUUCGCUUGUUUCAAACAUUGAUGACGAGGAAGAUGCUGGCAUAUUGCGAUGAUCGUUCUCAACUUCAAGGGUUCCAUAAAAGGUAGAAUAGUUGUUGCCCGAGAUAGGACAAGAGGCGCAAAGAGUCCCUACCGCGACUACAUCCUUGUAUUCCAUGCACUAGUACAAAACAGGGCUUUCGUCACAGGGCAAUAUUCACAUUAGUCCCGGUUCAGUCACGAACCGGGACUAAUGUGAGCAUUGGUCCCGGUUCGUGCGGCUAAGGCAUUAGUCCCGGUUCACCUGGGCCCUUUAGUCCCGGUUGGUGCCACGAACCGGGACUAAAGGGUGUGAUGCCCAUUAGUACCGGUUGGUGGCACCAACCGGGACUAAAGGACUAUCCUUUAGUCCCGGUUGGUGCCACCAACCGGUACUAAUGGGCUUUGAGGCAUUAGUACCGGUUCAUGGCACGAACCGGUACUAAAGGGCCCAUCAAACUCUACCCCCCUCUGGACCGCCUUUUCAGUUUUAGAAAAAACAAAAGAAAAUGAUGGAAAUGUCAAAAAAAUAAAAUAAAAUAAGUUUCCCAUGUGAUAUGUGGUCUAGUUGUUGGGAAAAUUAACAAAUAUGAAUUUCGACUUUAUUUGCAAAAUCUCUCUGGAAUUUCUUAAAAUGGGCAUAACUUUUGCAUACGAACUCGGAUGAAAAAGUUUUUUAUAUGAAAAAUCAUCUACUCGAAAAGUUACAUCCGAAUUUAACCGGGGGAACCCCGUUAAACAUUUUCAAAAUCCUCAAAAACCUAACAGAAAAAAGAUACGGGGCUUUUAAGAUCUGGAGAGGCAAAAAAUUCAAAAAAUUGCAAAUUGUGGUCAAACUAAUUAUUCUAGAAUAUUAGUGUUACUAAAUAAUUAUUUCAGUUUUUUUGAAUUUUGGUCAAAUCUGGUCAAACAGUGGUCAAACAAUGGUCAAACUAAUUAUUUCAGAAAUAUUAGUGUUACUAAAUUUUUUUUAAACAAUAGUUUCAAACUCAAACAGUGAAAUGUGUCACUUCAUGCUCAAGCUAAAUACCUGAGGGUUAAUAUAAUUGACAUCUUACUAUUGUCAGGAAAACAACAAGUGCAGAGUUGGAAACGAGGGAAAAUAGAACUCAGAAGUUAAGCGUGCUAAGGCUGGAGUAGUGAGAGGAUGGGUGACCGUCCAGGAAGUUAGAUGAUUUGGAAUGAUGAGGGGUGAUUAGAAAUUAGAGGAUAAAUUGAGCAGUGAUGAGGGGUGGUGAUUAGAGAUUAGAGGUUAAAAUAAUUCAGAAAUUUGAAAAUCAAAAAAAAAUUCGCAAAAAAAAAUUUCAAAAAAAAAUAUCAUAAAAUUUCCUUAGGUGGAGCUCCAGGCUGCGUCCACGUGGACGGCCUUUAGUCCCGGUUCGUGUAAGAACCGGGACUAAAGGGGGGAGGCAUUAGUAACGACUCUUUAGUCCCGGUUCAAAAACCGGGACUAAAGGCCCUUACCAACCGGGACAAAAGCCCCCUUUUCUACUAGUGAUGAGUUCUUUUUUUGGCGUUGCUUCAGGAUGAGUAGUCGUUCGUUCUUGUGCAUAGUGCAUGCUAUUAAUAAAUAUGAUCCAUACUUCAUGCCGUGGAAGGAUUGUGGCGGACAACCGUAGCUCUCUCUUAUGCAUACAUGCACGGUUGCUCUGAGGAUGCUUGCAUAUGGUAAAAAUGCAGAUGCUAUUGAUGAGUACGUCUGGAUGGGGGAGAGCACAUGCAUUGAGGCCAUGGAGAAAUUUUCCUACGACGUGCUGAAGGUGUGUGGAUCGGAGUACUCAAAAGAACCAAAUCCAAGGAUACAAAAAAGUUAAUAGCAAUUGGAGUAGCAAGGCGUUUCCAGGUAUGCUCGGUUCAAUCAAGCUGACAGCAGAAAGGCCACUAUCAUACUUGAAGAAUAUCAAAUAACUUGUGUAUUUGGCAUGCUUUCUUUGUCAUGACAGGUUCUCAGAAAGGCAUCAAUGUGUUUGAGUGAUCUUUGUUGUUCAAGAAACUUUGUGAUGGAGAUACUCAGGCGUGCAAUUACACCAUCAACAGGCAUCACUACAACAAGGUGUACUACCUUGCCGACGGUAUCUAUCGUCAGUGGGAAGCGUUUGUGAAUACUAUACCCAAUACCCAACAUAGAAAACGAUGUCCCUUUGCACAAAUGCAAGAAGCCGCUAGAAAGGAUGUGAAGAGGGUAUUUGGAGUGCUCCAAGCUCGACAGAUAUUGUUCGUGGAGCUGCAAUGACGUGGGAUCCAGAGACACUGUGAUAGAUGAUGACAUGUUGUGUAAUCCUACAUAACAUGAUUGCGGAGGAUGGCGGCGCGGGGAUAGCACAGAUACGUGAUUUUGAGAAGGCCAGAGUACAUGUCCGCCUCCCGAAGAAAGAUGCAUAGCACAUUGUGAACUUUCUAGAGAUUCAUUGACAACUUUAAGAUACAUAAGUGCACGCGCAACCACUCCUAUCACGCAUAUGUGGACCACACCGGAAAUAAUUGAAUUUUAUGUUUGAAUUAUGCACUCUGAAGAAAUCUUAUGUUUAGGCUAUGUAUUUUUUCUAUCUAGAUAUAUUUUAUUUAUGUGCUAUAUUCAUUGCUACGUGUAAUCGUAUACAUGUGUUUGCAUGGAUUUGGGGAUUUCAAAAUGAGGGUAAUAAUUGCAACGAUGGUCAUAUAGGGAUGGGCGACUUAUGUCCCAAGAUGCCUCCACAGACGUACACGAGGUCAUAUUUGUCCGGUCCAAUUAAGUAGGUUGUCGACUCCACAUAUACAAACAAAGGGUUUCAACAUCAAAAGAAAAAGAC